rnacentral:rRNA from 1 species
GAUGAACGCUAGCGGCAGGCUUAACACAUGCAAGUUGAGGGGCAGCAUGAACAAUAGCAAUAUUGUUUGAUGGCGACCAGCGCACGGGUGCGUAACACGUAUGCAAUCUACCUUAUACUGGGGCAUAACUCCGAGAAAUCGGUGCUAAUUCCCCAUAACACUACAGAGUGGCAUCACUCCAUAGUUAAAGUUCCGGCGUAUAAGANGAGCAUGCGUCCAAUUAGCUAGUUGGU